AGUAGCGCAUCUAGAUUUUGACCAGUAGUUUGUAUUUGUAAAUGUAGGAUGGCUUUAGAUUUUCUUACUAAAGUCUGCAGGACUUCAAGCACAAAAACCAUGUGCUGUGUCUCCUUCCAAUUGAACAGCAAUUCAACAGAUCCUACAAAACCAGGUCUCAGAAUUUCUUUUAUUUAUUUAUUUUUUCCAGGUGGAGAAGGAAGAGUUUGCCAUAAAAAUCAUGAAAUUGGCUUCUGGAACGAAGGGAGAAGACCCAAUUAAGCACGUGAAAUUCUACUCAAAGCAAGACCCUUGUACAGCCAAAACACUGGAAAGAAAGGAAAUCUCCCAGCUCCUCCCAAAUGUCUUUUGUGAGACGGUGCUCCAAAUUUUCAGCAAAAAUUCAAAGGAAAUAGAAGUUUCAGCCCUUAUUCCAACAAUAACAAAAUGGUGUACGGACAACAACUACGAGCUACCUAAAUAAUAAUCGGCCCAGGGCAUUUUGAUAGAACAGCAGUAAGCAAAAAUUUUUUUUUUGAGAAAAGGCCAAUAAUACAUUCCUUAUACACCACUGCAGAGAAAAGGCUUAGGUAAAAUAUAUGCAAAAGAUUUGACAUUCAUUAGGCAUUCACAAAAAAAUGUUUUUUUAAUGCCAACAUGACAUUUUUUGAAAAAUAUAAAAAUAUACAUUUGUAUUUGAGUAAUAUAAAGGUGAAAGGCUUUCACCACUAUUAUCUUCCUGGAAUAAGUUGAAGCAGCUAAAGAUACAUUUUUUUCCCUGUUUUAUCUUAUUGUGUUCAACAAUUGCUUCUCAAAGCAAAUAUGAUUUAAAAAAAAGAAAAGCAAAUAUACUAAAACAUAUUUUAUGGAAUGUUUUGGGAGAAGAGGAUUUAAUUUUAUUUUUAUUUCAUUUUCACUCUAAUUGUAGAACAUAAAAAGGCUGUCUUGAUUAUUUUUACCAUUUUAAUUUUAUGUUAAUCAACUAACAAGUCAUUUUCUUUAUUUGUCAUUGUCUGUUAGAAAUGAUUGAGGCUGGGGAAGAAAUUACCUGAAAUGUUUGAACUGUAACAUAAAUUAUUUUCAUGCCAAUUAUUUACAUGAGACUAAUGAAUUUGUUAUUUCACUCAAGUGGACUUACUCCAAAGUGUAAAAUAAACAGCAAUUAUAACAAUAACAAUUUAUUAUGAAAAAUAUUUUUAAACUGACAUUCAAUCUAUAGUUGAAGAUAUAUUCACACCACACAAUCUAUGUAAAAAUAGCCAUGUUAAUGUUGACAGAAUGUAAGGAGCAAUAUGGACAUUGCAUAACUAAUAGGAAUGUCCAAUCAUUUAUAACAUCUGGAUUCUGUUUUAAAGGAAUUAUGCAGAAUACAUUUAAUCCCAGAUCCUUGUUUGUGUUUACUGAACCAUUUGAAUUUGAACUUUUUUUUUUUAACUUUAACUUUAAUUUUCUAGGUAUUUUUAACGUAAAGUGCUCAGCAGCUCAAAUUAAUGAAGCAAGAUCUAGAACAGUGCAGCAAUAAGAUUCAUGUGGCUAUUUGUAACAUGCUAUUAUCUGGAUAUGAUGGAAAUAUUUAUAACCAUAUAUAAAUGAGCUGUACACCUAUAUAUUACAUUUUCAAGAUGUGUUUGAGUCUGUGGUGAUGAUUUGUGCUAUUUUGUGAGUUGUGUUUUGUGGUUUCUUGGUUGUGUUUGAUGUGUAUUUUUUAUGUGAAAAAUCAAGAAAAAUGAUGAUCACAAAAAAUAAAUAAAUAACUGACCCUCUUA